rnacentral:rRNA from 1 species
GAUGAACGCUGGCGGCGUGCCUAAUACAUGCAAGUCGAGCGAAUGGAUUGAGAGCUUGCUCUUAUGAAGUUAGCGGCGGACGGGUGAGUAACACGUGAGUAACCUGCCCAUAAGACUGGGAUAACUCCGGGAAACCGGGGCUAAUACCGGAUAACAUUUUGAACCGCAUGGUUCGAAAUUGAAAGGCGGCUUCGGCUGUCACUUAUGGAUGGACCCGCGUCGCAUUAGCUAGUUGGUGAGGUAACGGCUCACCAAGGCAACGAUGCGUAGCCGACCUAAGAGGGUGAUCGGCCACACUGGGACUGAGACACGGCCCAGACUCCUACGGGAGGCAGCAGUAGGGAAUCUUCCGCAAUGGACGAAAGUCUGACGGAGCAACGCCGCGUGAGUGAUGAAGGCUUUCGGGUCGUAAAACUCUGUUGUUAGGGAAGAACAAGUGCUAGUUGAAUAAGCUGGCACCUUGACGGUACCUAACCAGAAAGCCACGGCUAACUACGUGCCAGCCGCCGCAGUAA